GACGAACGCUGGCGGCGUGCUUAACACAUGCAAGUCGAACGGAAAGGCCCUGCUUUUGUGGGGUGCUCGAGUGGCGAACGGGUGAGUAACACGUGAGUAACCUGCCCUUGACUUUGGGAUAACUUCAGGAAACUGGGGCUAAUACCGGAUAGGAGCUCCUGCUGCAUGGUGGGGGUUGGAAAGUUUCGGCGGUUGGGGAUGGACUCGCGGCUUAUCAGCUUGUUGGUGGGGUAGUGGCUUACCAAGGCUUUGACGGGUAGCCGGCCUGAGAGGGUGACCGGCCACAUUGGGACUGAGAUACGGCCCAGACUCCUACGGGAGGCAGCAGUGGGGAAUAUUGCACAAUGGGCGGACGCCUGAUGCAGCAACGCCGCGUGCGGGAUGACGGCCUUCGGGUUGUAAACCGCUUUCGCCUGUGACGAAGCGUGAGUGACGGUAAUGGGUAAAGAAGCACCGGCCAACUACGUG
rnacentral:rRNA from 1 species